GACGAACGCUGGCGGCGUGCUUAACACAUGCAAGUCGAACGGAAAGGCCCUGCUUUUGUGGGGUGCUCGAGUGGCGAACGGGUGAGUAACACGUGAGUAACCUGCCCUUGACUUUGGGAUAACUUCAGGAAACUGGGGCUAAUACCGGAUAGGAGCUCCUGCUGCAUGGUGGGGGUUGGAAAGUUUCGGCGGUUGGGGAUGGACUCGCGGCUUAUCAGCUUGUUGGUGGGGUAGUGGCUUACCAAGGCUUUGACGGGUAGCCGGCCUGAGAGGGUGACCGGCCACAUUGGGACUGAGAUACGGCCCAGACUGCUACGGGAGGCAGCAGGGGGGAAUAUUGCACAAUGGGCGGAAGCCUGAGGCAGCAACGCCGCGUGCGGGAUGACGGCCUUCGGGUUGUAAACCGCUUUCGCCUGUGACGAAGCGUGAGUGACGGUAGUGGGUAAAGAAGCACCGGCUAACUACGUG
rnacentral:rRNA from 1 species